UCGGCUAGAAGCGCAGCCAUUGUCCACGGCACAGACGCUGGCUGUGGCCGCGCACCUCGGCCCUUGGAGGUUAACCCUAGGGGCCUUGCGAAUGCCGACUUGGGGAGGGGCAGAACUAGCGUAACCUGAGUCUGUCGUGUGCAGAAUCGGGGUAGGGGGUUCACCAAGCUCGUCCGGCCCCAGAGCCGUAUCGGACACUGAGGCUGGGACAGGCCUGGCCUGGGCGGCGAACCUGUAGACGCCCAGCUCAGGACCCAAGGGAGGAGAGCAUGGAAGAGCAGGAUGAGAAGCCCCCAGGGCCCCUGGAGGCCUGUGUGCAGGACUCUAUCCUUCCUCAAAAAAUGAUCAUCAAGGUCGAGAGAGAAGAUGCUGGGUCACUGGCCAUCCCAUCCCAGGAAGGAGGGAACUUCAAAAUUGUGACUGUGGACUUCACUCAGGAAGAGGACAUUUUGACUCCCGUUCAGAGGACUCUGGACAGAGAUGUGAUCCUGGAGAACCACAGGGACUUGGACUCUUGGGACUCGGCAACUGCACUUGGAAGAAGAGAAUCAACAUCAAAACAGAGAAGUUUUGAUCAUGAACCAUCCCAUGGAGUGAAGUUAGAAGGGUUGGCAAGAGAUAAUCUUUGGUUAUCUUCACGUGAAGAAGUUUGGAUUUGUAAAGACCAGUUGGAGAAGCAACAAGAAAAACCAGAAAGACUUUUAAAGAAAGUGGCAUUCACUCAAAAGAAUGCUAUUACUCAUGAGAGAGUCUGCAAAAGUGAUGAACUUGAGAAGGAUGGUCUGAAUUCCAGCCUUCUUUCACCCGAGAUGACACCCAUGAGAAACCAUUUUCACAAACAUGCCUCACAUGUUAAAAAAUUACAUCAUUCAGUUAUGAAUAGUCAUCAGAUAACUGAUGACAGUGAGAAACUAUGUGAAAAUAAUGAAUGUGGGAAAAAAACGCAGAGCAUUCACCUUAUUCAGUUUACAAGAACUCAAACAGAAGAUAAAUCUUAUAGAUUUAGCAACAGUAUUCAGUCUUUUAGCCAUGGUAUGCCCCUAAAUAUACAUGAGAAAAUACAUGCAAGAGGGAAAUCCUUUGAUUUUAAGGAAUAUGGGCAAGUUUUGAACCAUAGCAUAUCCCAUAAUGAACAGCAGAGAAUUCCUGUUGAAGAGAGACAAUAUAAAUGUAGUACAAUCUCCCAGAAUUCAUCGCUUGCUUCAAACAUGAGAAAUUCUGAAGAAAAACCCUUUGAAUGUAACCAGUGCGGGAAAUCCUUCAGCUGGAGCUCUCAUCUUGUUGCACAUCAGAGAACUCAUACGGGGGAGAAACCUUAUGAAUGUAACGAGUGUGGGAAAUCCUUCAGCCGGAGUUCUCACCUUGUUUCCCAUCAGAGAACUCAUACUGGAGAGAAACCUUAUAGAUGUAAUCAGUGUGGGAAAUCCUUUAGCCAGAGCUAUGUCCUUGUUGUGCAUCAGAGAACUCAUACUGGAGAGAAGCCUUAUGAGUGCAGUCAGUGUGGAAAGUCAUUCAGGCAGAGCUACAAGCUUAUUGCACAUCAAAGAACUCAUACCGGAGAGAAGCCUUAUGAAUGUAAUCAAUGUGGGAAAUCAUUUAUCCAGAGCUAUAAACUUAUUGCACAUCAAAGAAUUCAUACUGGAGAAAAACCCUAUGAAUGCAACCAAUGUGGAAAGUCUUUUAGUCAGAGUUACAAACUUGUUGCCCAUCAGAGAACUCACACAGGAGAGAAACCCUUUGAAUGUAAUCAGUGUGGGAAAUCCUUUAGCUGGAGCUCUCAACUUGUUGCACAUCAGAGAACUCAUACUGGAGAGAAACCCUAUGAAUGUAACGAGUGUGGAAAAUCUUUCAACCGCAGUUCUCAUCUUGUUAUGCAUCAGAGAACUCAUACAGGAGAAAAACCCUAUGAAUGUAAUCAGUGUGGGAAGUCUUUCAGCCAGAGUUAUGUUCUUGUUGUACAUCAGCGAACUCAUACUGGAGAAAAGCCCUAUGAAUGCAGUCAGUGUGGGAAAUCCUUCAGACAGAGUUCCUGCCUUACUCAACAUCAGAGAACUCAUACUGGAGAGAAACCUUAUGAGUGUAAUCAGUGUGGGAAAACAUUCAGUUUGAGUGCUCGACUUAUUGUACAUCAAAGAACACAUACUGGAGAGAAACCCUUUACAUGUAAUCAAUGUGGGAAAGCUUUUAUUAACAGCUCUAAACUUAUUAGACAUCAGGCAACUCAUACUGAAGAGAAACUUUAUGAAUGCAAAUAGUUUGGAAAUUUUUUAGCUAGAGCCUGUUCCUUUCUUCCUCCCUCCCUCCUGUCUAAGGAAGCACAUGUAUGGGAAAGAACAUGUAUAAAAAUAAUGUAUGUGGAAAAGCUUUCAGUUAGCCCUCUGCUAUUAUGUAUCUGGAAAUUUCUCCUGGAGAAGAAAUGGGGGACUGUGGAUCAUACAUCUUACUUAGCAAUUCCAUGUGCAAAAUCAAACUUAGUCUUUUGUUUAAGACUAAAGACUUAGUCUUUUGUUUAAUGAGACAUUUUAAACAAAAGUAAUAAAUAUUGGCACUUUUCCUUGCAGAAAGCACUUAGAAUUACCAUGACCAUUAAAUGAACAGCAUGCUGUGGAGUGAUUGCCAGUGAGGUAGACCUCUUUUCCAAUAAAGAGUAAAUGAGAAUGCUAACACUGUGAUGGUGUUGAGAAGUUUGAAAAUUGUAGUUGCUAGGAAUUAGGCUGGAAAACAGUUCAGUUAUCUUAAAACAUGAUUUCCCCACUAACUACUUUGUAUUCUCUUUCAUACAGCACUUUCUCUUACAUUUGAAGAUGUUGUAAAAAUUAGUAAAAUGGCUAUGAUACAAAGUGGAAAAUGCAGGAUGGAAUUUAGAACAUUCAUUUCUCAAACCAUUGUCAUAAGUUACUUGUGUUGUGAAUCAGAAUUAAAAGGGAUUCUAGAUUGUCUUUUCUGGUCUGAAAUAUGUUCCUCUAUGUGAGAGUUCUCUGAAUGGGAAGGCACUGCCCUGGCUAAGUGCUCAUCACGCCUGCAAGAAAGCUUUUAGUGAGGUAAGAUUUGUAUCUUAUUGAUUUAAGAUUUGGUUCACAUGUCUUCCUGGUCUUUCCCCCUAAAUCAUGAAUUCUAACCCUGUGGAUUAUGGACCUGGAACCUCUCCUCCCAGAGAAUUAAUAAAAAUAAUAAUAAUAAUUGGAGUUGAACAGAGAAACCUAAAAAUAGAGGCAAAUUCUCUGGAGAGAGAAAGAAAAAGCUAAAGUGACAUCUGACUGGGUGUUUUCCCAGUAAAAUUCUGUCCCUGGGACAUGACCCUAAGUGGAGCCAUCUCGAUGAGGAUUAAGCCCAACAUUGCAACACACUGGGAAGUGACUGGCAUUCUGGGGGAACAAGUGUCAAUGGCUGGAAAAUUGGCUUGCCACCCCAAGAGAAUCUGUAGUUAGCCCAUGACUGUAUAGUCAGAGGAACAGCUGGAGUUCGCCCUGCAUUGCCUUUUGGAGAGGGCAUGAAAUUGUGAAAACCUGACUAGCUCACCCACCCCAAAUCAUAGGUAAAAUUGAUGCCAGUGCUAGGUACAAGUGGAUUAUUGUUGCUGGACAUGUUGAAUCUUACUUUGAAGGUAAGGAGUCAUGAUUUCAAAAGUACAUAUAAAGCCAGAUGGCUAAGGAGGACUCUAAAGAUUUCAACUUUUGGAAGUGAUCUAUUGCAAAGUAACCUCUUGAGUAAAUGUUAAAAACAUGUCAUUGAAAAUGAGAAGUUGAUAGAAUGGCAAAAACAAUUUUUGAAGUGAGUGUGUGUGUAAUUUUCUUGGCCAGGUUGAAUAUGAGAGUCAUCUGUGUGUGUUAUAUCAGUUCAUAGGUGGUGAUUUAUGGUUACCAAGUGUUUUGAAUAGACAUUCAAUAAGUAAACAAAAAUGUUAA